GUGCUCACUUCAGCAGCACAUAUACUAAAAUUGGAAGAAUACAGAGAAGAUUAGCAUGGCCCCUGAACAAGGAUAACAUGCAUAUUUGUGACUCGAUCCAUAAUUUU
rnacentral:snRNA from 1 species